rnacentral:lncRNA from 1 species
UCAAGGUUGAGCAAACUGUCCUGAAGAAAUUCUGGCCGGAAAGUACUGUAGCUGCUGGAAAAUUCAAUAAAGUCGCCGGAAAAAACUGAAAGUUAUCGGAAUCGAACGAAACAAGGAUGGGUAGGGUCGGAAUUGAAGACCGACCAAACUGUCCUUCUGGAGCGAACUGAAAAAGUGGCUGGAAAGGCCCUUACGCGCCUGCGCGUGGGCUCACGCGCCGAGGGUAUUGCCGGCCCGUGGGGGCACGUGGCUGGCUAGUUUCCGGUGAUUUUUUCUGGGGUUGGUCGGAAUUCUCUUCCGAACCUCGUGGUGGCCUCGGAUUUUGCACAGAACCAACAAAAAGGGUAGUUUUAGUUACGGACAGCCUCUUAAGUUGCCGGAAAAUUGCACGGCGACGAGGUCUUUCUUCCCGGAAGUAGCUGGAAUGACGCACAGCUAUAAUAUUCUCACCAAGGCNNN